ACAUGAAUGAAGUGAAACAGAGAGAAUGUUUGAGAGUGGAGAAAUCAUGGACUGCUUUCUACUUGCACUGACAGAUGGAGUGAAAACGCUGCAUUGGUCUGAACAAGGAAGAACUGGAGGGGGAGCUGCACAGCCUCCUGCAACCAGCUGGGAAUGAUGACUAGAGUGAGAUUGUGCCUGGCAGUUAGUAAUAUUACUACUUAUUCACUGCAGAAUACCUGAAAACACCCUAUAUAAAGCAGAACAAGACAGAGAGAUGCUAGACAGGCUUGAGAAGCUGUCUGAGCAUUUAUAACACAGGACUGGUAAAGGUCAGUGAUAAAGCAACUAUUAGCUAAGGCUGAAGAGUCUCUCAUCAAUCAGGAACUGUUUUUGCUUUCGUCUUGUAAAGCCAUUAAUGCUUAAUUUGUAUAUAUCAAGGCAGUGAAAAUAAAUGUUUUGGUUUGGACAAAUUCCAAAAAAAUAUAUAUUAAUAACAAAUGAUGAAACUUGUGUAUAAUCAUGUCUUUAAAGAGCUACAGCAGUAUCACAGUUUAACCUUUGUAGUGUACAGCCAAUUUUACCAGCAGCUGUAACUUAGGAUGUCAGAAACACUCAUUUUGUUAUUGAGGUAUAAACUAUCAUGUAUGGUUAGAUGUCUACAGAUGCCUACUGUUAGUGAUUAAAGUACCACUAAUUCAUGGUUUUGAAAAAUGCCCUUAUUCUAGCCCCCUGUUUAAAUACAGAUACUGUACACCCACCUGUGUGCUGCCUUAGCUAAGGCAGGAUAAAUGUUGGUAUUAAAACAAAACUUCACAAAGCCGCCCAAUUGCUUGGUAUUAAAACAUAAAUUCAAGGUGCCCCACAAAGGGGUUUCUUUAACACAGGGCCUUGUAGGGAGUGUGUCAUAUUAACGUGGUAUUAAAACACAUUCAUUCAAGUGUUGUAGAACCUUCAAAGUUGCUCUUACACAGUGCGCUUGAAGAUUCACAUUCAAAAAACAAUAACAAAACAUAUAAAUUAUAUACAAAAUAGACAUUAUAUCAUACUAAAGUACACCAAACACAGCAAUAAAUUAUACAAGUGUAAAUAAUACAA